UUUCGAUACACAGAAGACAAAUAUCAGUUUGCUAGUCCACAGCAAUUAUUUCUCGUCGCGUAUCCUGAUCCCCAACCUUUUUAUUUAUAGGCCUAAAAUAAUCACGCAUAAGGUGUAGCCUUCAAAGAGGCAUUUGUAAGCUCUCCUUUCGUUGUUGCUGAAUGAUCAUCUUUGUGAGGAUCGCAAGUUCCUUCCUCAUUCGCAGAGCAGGUAGGCAGCUGAACGGUGGCCUGUAUCAACCAUAUCAACCAUGCCAUGAGGACGACAUGCAGUGAUCAUCUAGGCUUUUCAUUCCAUUUUCUGUUACUUACUACUUACUAUUAUUCUGUGAGCUAUGUACGAGGGAAGGGGGUAAGCGGACAGGCCCGGGCAUGCGCUGUGAUGUGUUUCAACUGAAACAGGGGUAGGAACAGUGCUGUUAGUUGAGUAAUCCGUCUAUCUUUUGCUUCAUGAUAUAUAUAGGAUCAGCCCUGCACUCUUCUCGCACUGUUCCUCGUCGGAACUACUGCUGCAGUGCCGGAUCAGACCGGUGUGUACACAGCUGAACAAAGUUGAUCGGAGAUCACCCGCAUCAGUAGAGGGAUGGUAAUUAGCCUUUGCCUUGGAACAUCCUUCUCUUUUUCUAUUCCUUUUCUUUCUAGAUUUCUCAUCACUCUCAUUAUAACGCACUAUUCGUAGGCUGCUAUUAUAUCAGUUAGUACGGAGGUCCUGAGGAUGCAGUCAGUCUCAACACAAGGUGGUGGCAAUACACGCUUUUCUAACCAGUGAGUUAACCACCUAUUCACUGCUACAAUCUUUUGCUGUCAAAGUACUUUUCUGACAGUUGAAAACGGCAUUUCUAUCUGUAUCCAAAAUCUUUUCGAUUCUUUUCAUGGCGCUAUCGAUAUCUUCCAUAUACCAUGGGCACCCGCAAAUUGCAACACCGCUUUGUCAUAUUUAGCCUUCAUCGCAUCGGUUUGUCCUACCGGGGUGCAAAUAUGGCAACGAUGCACACCCUCCCAAGGGGUGGCAAUGGCAACUCCGCAACGAACUUCCUAGCAUCUGUACAACCAACUAUCAAUCAUUCUGACUUUGCCUCUUUAACAAAGACAGUUCCUAAACCAUUCAUCUGUCUGACAUUAUUCGCCAAUGCCUGCACGAAUGAUAAUUUGGAACAGUAAUAUUCGCAAUUAUCAAAGAUGGAAAAUACAACCGACGUACAGGGACUGCCAACUAUCGCUGAGGAAUCCUCUCAGGUUGGAAGGCAUCGAGGCGAAGCAGAACGACGGACAAGACUCCAAUAGCGGUGUCACUGUCCUCGUCAAGGCGGGAAAACACCUGACGCUACUUUAGUUUCGUGUCCUCAGUCGUUUGUCUACAGUUGUACUUGCAGAGGUCUACUACGUUCACAAUCGUCGUUUAUCACCGCCCGCAGAGAAAUGUCGCAUUUAUGGGUCAAAUUCCCGAUCCUCGUCUUCGGCACAAUAAAGCUGAUUACAAAAUACCGGAGAGCGCAGCAACAAACGCAAGGUUAUAAUAACUCUUCGAAUUACUGAACUCAUUAUUUCAAUCUCUGUUUGGGCGAUGAGCAUUGUGCUGUGCUGGCCAUUGUAUCUGCAGUGUAUCAGAUAGAGUUUGCCGCUCAACGGAGCUGUGAGAACAUGCAGACCUGCAUAUUUAACCCUCAUCGCACUGACUUGCCAUUUUGGGACGAAAAGUCUUUGUUUAGCUACAUCAGUGUGGCCGACGACAAGCCGUCAAAUGUUACAGGGAAGAUUAUGUUCGCUGGCGAUGCCGUUGUUCCAGCAAGUUUGCCUACUUUGAACAAAGCGAACCAAAAUGAGAUACUGGAGGCAUUGCGUGAUGAGGAAGGAUAUGGAGAGGAAAUCAAGCUACAUACAUGCGGAUAAAAGAUAGAUUCUAUUGGCCAAGGUUAGCCAAGCUAGUCGAAGUCUACGUUAGAACUUGCCAUGAGUGCCAGCAAAGGGAUUAUCGGUUCUAUGGUUUUCCACGGAUAAGCCCAGAGCCACCGACAUUGUUCUGAGUUGGACUUGGACUUAGAUUGGGUCAGUAUGGGUCAGAAUAGAGAAGAUCUCAGUGCAAUACAGGGCAUCAUUGUCGCAAGGGAAGCGCUUACUGGGUGGGUUGAAACGAAAGCUAUCGGGGCACCGAAUGCGAAGAUCUGGGCAAAGUGCUUGGAUGGCAGAUUUCUGCAAGACUUGGUUGACGAGGUAUGCGCUUAAUUGCGGAGGCUUAUUGGGCAACCCGUAGGAUUGUUACCGAACCUUCUUUCGUUUGUCCGUUGGUUACAUUUUCUACUGCUAAGUUGCCCUGGAGCUAGAGGGAAGAGUUCUGUUGGAUGAGGGAGCCAAUGGGCCAAUAGGACCUGAAGAUUCAGAGAGAAGCCCUUUGUGGUGUGGCUGCUUAUAUCUUCCCAUUAGAUUGAUAGGGGUAUGAGGAAAGUAGAAGUCUUAGUCAAAGGGGAUUGAGAGUUAAGAGAGAAUAGAUGGCAUGUUGGUAACAAAGUCUAUCUACUCGGCCUUAUGUAUCUUUUUCCCUCCCUGUC
rnacentral:sRNA from 1 species